AUUGAACGCUGGCGGCAGGCCUAACACAUGCAAGUCGAACGAGUGGCGGACGGGUGAGCAAUGUCUGGGAAACUGCCUGAUGGAGGGGGAUAACUCCUGGAAACGGUAGCUAAUACCGCAUACCAUCGGAUGUGCCCAGAUGGGAUCAGCUAGUAGGUGGGGUAAAGGAUCACCUAGGCGACGAUCCCUAGCUGUGCUGAGAGGAUGACCGGCCACACUGGAACUGAGACACGGUCCAGACGCCUACGGGAGGCAGCAGUGGGGAAUAUUCGACAAUGGGCGCAAGCCUGAUGCAGCCAUGCCGCGUGUAUGAAGAAGGUCUUCGGGUUGUAAAGUACUUUCAGCGGGGAGGCGUUACCCGCAGAAGAAGCACCGGCUAACUCCGUGCCAGCAGCCGCGGUAAUAC
rnacentral:rRNA from 1 species